rnacentral:rRNA from 1 species
AGUCACUGACAUUAGAUACCCCGGUAGUCCAGGGUGUAAACGCUGCAGACUUGGUGUUGGGAACCCUUCGGGGGUGCUCAGUGCCGGAGAGAAGUUGUUAAGUCUGCUACUUGGGGAGUACGUCCGCAAGGAUGAAACUUAAAGGAAUUGGCGGGGGAGCACCGCAACGGGAGGAGCGUGCGGUUUAAUUGGAUUCAACACCGUAAACUCACCAGGGAAGACUGUUACAUGAAGGCCGAGAUGAAGACUCUGCUAGAUUUUCAG